GCUCCUACCGAUUGAGUGAUCCGGUGAAUUAUUCGGACUGACGCAGUGCUCUGCUUCUGGACGUUGCGUUGGAAAGUUUCAUGAACCUUAUCACUUAGAGGAAGGAGAAGUCGUAACAAGGUUUCCGUAGGUGAACCUGCAGAAGGAUCAAUGAUCCUUCUGCAGGUUCACCUACGGAUACCUUGUUACGACUUAACCCCUCUUGCGGGGCCCUGGUUCAAACAUGACAACGAUCACGCCUUCACCAAGACCCCACUCGAAUGGUUUGACGGGCGGUGUGUACAUUGCGGA
rnacentral:misc_RNA from 1 species